CGGACGCCGCGGUUUUGACGACGACACUCACUCUGCCUAUAAAUACCGUGCGCGGAGCUACCGCUCUCUCUUUUGCUUGCUGCGUAUCACCUUGAGAGACUUCAACCCGCAAGCGUUCGGCACUGCAGAAAAAUUACCAAGAGGGACUUGCGGUUGGAGACCAUUUUAAGCCCGAACGUGUCGAUCGGGCGAAGUUACUCCGUCGUGGAGAAUGGAGGGCACAACACGGAGAUGUUUAAUUAGAGGGCUAACCCUGGUGAUGGACACCACUGAGACGAACAGAGACUCCUUGGCUCCUGGCUGCACGGCAACCUCGCGAGCUUCACGUUGCGCCUGGCGAAUGAAGGUCCCUUGGAUUUGUCGAACAGAGGAGAGCCCACUGCUGAUGGCCAUGGUGGCUGCCUUGCCUCCCUUCAUGAGGUGCCAUGCUGUCACCUACCUAAUGGAGAAGUUGAGAAAAUCUGAAUUGGAUGGAGUUUCUUGAAGAAUGAAUGCACUUCGAAGAAGUUGAAGAUGGACGGAUCAUUUGAAAUGAAAGGGGGUGAGUGCACAAUAGCGGAUUAUUAGUAGCGUCUGAUUGAGGCAUGGCUUUUGGCAUUGAGAGAUUUAAAGUUGACCUUGGUGUUGUAGGACUUUAGUGGAUGGCAAAUGAUUGCAUGUUGAUUGUAUGGAGGUGCGAACAGGGUAUUAAACCUUGUAAUGUAUCUUGCUACUCCAGCAUGUUUUGAGGAUGAAAAUCUACGCAUUUUUGAGUCUCAUGGACUCUGAAAAUAAAAUCGUCGCUAUUCUGAAAAAAUGUGCUGUCGGCAGCUUGCAUAUAGCAGUGGAAAUUUAAUAUGCUCAUUUCCAUAAUUG